GGGCACCAAAACCGCCAGAAGGGGCACCAAAACCGCCAAAAGGUGCACCAAAUCCACCAAAAGGGUCGCCAAAACCACCAAAAGGGUCGCCAAAACCACCAAACGGGUUUCUACCUCCCUGCAUUUCUUGUUUGCUUCUACCCUGGAAACAUACGUGCAAAUAGCGGAUAAAUGUUAGCACAUUGCAAAUAAUCAUGUCAAACUUGGGAAAAAAGAGGCUCCUAAAACAAAAGUACACCACACGGAACAAAGGAUUAGAA
rnacentral:lncRNA from 1 species